UACGUAGGGUGCAAGCGUUGUCCGGAUUUAUUGGGCGUAAAGGGUGCGUAGGCGGCGGAGUAAGUUGGGUGUGAAAUCCCGGGGCUCAACCUCGGAAUUGCAUUCAAUACUGCUUCGCUCGAGUACUGGAGAGGAGGCUGGAAUUUACGGUGUAGCAGUGAAAUGCGUAGAUAUCGUAAGGAAGGCCGGUGGCGAAAGCGAGCCUCUGGACAGUUACUGACGCAGAUGCACGAAGGCCAGGGGAGCAAACGGG
rnacentral:rRNA from 1 species